GUGCUCAUUUCCGAAGCAUAUAUACUAAAACAGGAAUGGUACAGAGAUUAGCACGGCGCCUGUAUACAGAUGACACACAAAUCUGUCAAGUGCUCCACAGUUGU
ensembl:snRNA U6 U6 spliceosomal RNA